rnacentral:rRNA from 2 species
UACGGAAGGUCCGGGCGUUAUCCGGAUUUAUUGGGUUUAAAGGGAGCGUAGGCCGGAGAUUAAGCGUGUUGUGAAAUGUAGGUGCUCAACAUCUGCACUGCAGCGCGAACUGGUUUCCUUGAGUACGCACAAAGUGGGCGGAAUUCGUGGUGUAGCGGUGAAAUGCUUAGAUAUCACGAAGAACUCCGAUUGCGAAGGCAGCUCACUGGAGCGCAACUGACGCUGAAGCUCGAAAGUGCGGGUAUCGAACAGG